CUGUCAGCAUUUGAACACAUUGAUGAGUAUUUCCCAAGAGAAAAGGCUGAUUUCUCCUGGAAGAAUGAGAAAUAUUGAGGAACUGAAGGAUGUGUUUAUGUUUUACGGAGAAUUAGCAGAGGCACAAGAUGAGGCACAGAAAGUGACCUGAUAUUCUUAUCUGGAAAGGCUGGAAGAGGGUGUCCAUCGAUACAGAAAUCAUCCAACAGAGAUGAACUCUAAACUUAUGAACUCUCAUAGAACUCUAUGAUCCAUCAACUUCAAG